rnacentral:siRNA from 1 species
AUACGUCGACAGUUCCCCACCACC